CAUUUGUUUUGUAUAUUCAUUUCUGGCCCAUUCAAAUUUAGGGCACCGUCUGAAUCUCUGAAAACGUUUGCUGGAACCUCCGGACUCCUCUGGCCAGCUCAACGUAACGUUUCCAGUUUUGCAUUAAUAAGUUCUUCAUUCCGAGAUUUAACUUCAUUACCCCCCACUCAUCCCACUCUCAAGCACUCAAUCGGACACAUCCUAUCCCAGCGUAACUGACGAAAGGUUCGACUAUAAAUCUUCGAUCUCCCGCCGAUGAACAACACAACUUCAACCAAAUCGAGAAGAGGAUCUUGAUUCUGUGAUUUGUUGAGGAUCUCUUAGAUAUGUCCAUGGCCCCAAAAACGGCUAAAGCAUUUUUUAUAAAUAGUGGAUCAUGAGCCCAAUGAUACACAGGUCAAUCUGGUUUGGUAUAUACAACAACGCACUUGGAAGGCCUGAGAAGAAGAAAUUUAUCGCGAGAAAGAAAUCGUACCAUAGCUCCAUUUUAAUAUCAGCAAGUUUGUCCAGUCUCCCAGUGCUGCAUCAAACUUUGAUUUACCUGCACCAUUUGUGUGGCACACAGACUGCCCUCAUUAUUGCCGUUUUCAUCUUCCAGGCGAAAAUAAAGAGGAUUUCUCAAUAAGAUUAGCCAAGAAUUUAGAGGAUCUUAUCAUUACAGAGGGACCAGAAACUGUGAGCAAUCUUCUAUAAUCACACUCUUGUCUUGGACCAGUGAGUGUUGUGCUUUCUAUUUCUGACCUUGAUUUUGCAUAAUGAGAACUGCAGUUUCAUGGAUACCAAAAGGGGCUUCAAAGGCCAUGCUGAUCCUCCUUCUAAGAUCAAAGAGCUGAUCGAGAAUGGCACUCAAGAAAAGGUGAAUUAUUUUCCCUUUCCAUCUUCUACUGGACUUUUGUAAAACUCACCCUUUGAUUUGUGGUUACAUGUACAACAUAUGCUAUCUGAGUGUGACAUGGAUGGAGCGUGAAAUACAUAGUGGUGAAGUUCCUCAUGCCAAGGCUGUAGCCAAAUAUUUUGAAAAAACAUGUGCCAAAAGCAAGUUUACAAUUCUAAGCACUGUAAAUUUUCCAACUAUGAAAGCAAUAUCCCAUGAUUUUUAUAUUGUGUGGCCACGAAUAUAAGUUUAUGUUUUAUAUCUCAUCAGAAAAUUCGAUUAUAUACUAUGUGUUCGGUAUUGUU